GUGGGGAAUAUUGGACAAUGGGCGCAAGCCUGAUCCAGCCAUGCCGCGUGUGUGAAGAAGGCCUUCGGGUUGUAAAGCACUUUUGUUGGGAAAGAAAUCCUGUCGGCUAAUACCCGGCGGGGAUGACGGUACCCAAAGAAUAAGCACCGGCUAACUUCGUGCCAGCAGCCGCGGUAAUACGAAGGGUGCAAGCGUUACUCGGAAUUACUGGGCGUAAAGCGUGCGUAGGUGGUUCGUUAAGUCAGAUGUGAAAGCCCCGGGCUCAACCUGGGAAUUGCAUUUGAUACUGGCGGACUAGAGUGCGGUAGAGUAGAGUGGAAUUCCCGGUGUAGCAGUGAAAUGCGUAGAGAUCGGGAGGAACAUCAGUUGCGAAGGCGGCUCUCUGGACCAGCACUGACACUGAGGCACGAAAGCGUGGGGAGCAAACAGGAUUAGAUACCCUAGUAGUCC
rnacentral:rRNA from 1 species